rnacentral:lncRNA from 1 species
AACCAGAUGCUCUGCAGGGCACAGCUAUAUACGACCGCAGAGGUUGAACCCUGAACAGUUGGGGCAAGUAUGGACACAACAUUCAAGCUGGAUUCAGCUCUAAAUUUGGAUUGUGAUUAAAUAGUUGACACAGCAUAGGUUUCUGACACAGAAUGAAUGUGGUCUAAUGAACUUAAAAUUUUUUUUUGCCUUUGAGCAAUUCACUAUGCUGUUGAAUAUUAAUCCUCUCAAAAAAAUGUUUGAAGAAAUUUUCUUUUUAUUUAUGAAAUCUGAAAUGAGAAAAAUUUAACCCCCCCCUUUUUUUUUCACAUCCCCCUUUCCCUUUUUCCAAAACUGAUCUCAAUUCAAAUUUCUAAUGGAGUUUGCAACAAUAACUACUCAUUUAAAUACAUCAUAAAAUAUUAAAAUGUAAAAAAAGUGCUUGUUAUCACUGAAUGGUAAAGAUUGUUUUAAUUUAUCAGUUGGUAGUAAAAGUGAAUAUACAUUGUAUAUUGUAUAAAACAAUGAUUUAAGUUGAUUCAACUACUAUUCUGGACAAAGAAAGAUAACUCCAAUUGAAAAUUUCUUGCUAUUGCACAAUAUUGUGCAAUUAGAUAUUUCUUGCUAUUGCGCAAUACUGUGCAAUUGAAAAUAUUUGCUAUUGCACAAUACUGUGCAAUUGAAGAUUUCUUGCUAUUGCGCAAUACUGUGCAAUUGAAAAUUUCUUGCUAUUGCACAAUACUGUGCAAUUGAAGAUUUCUUGCUAUUGCUGAAUACUGUGCAAUUGAAAAUUUCUUGCUAUUGCACAAUACUUAAUAUAAUAAUUUUGGAUCCUGAUUUGAACCAACUUGAAAACUGGGCCCAUAAUCAAAAAUCUAAGUACAUGUUU